UACAGAGGGUGCAAACGUUGCUCGGAAUUAUUGGGCGUAAAGCGCGUGUAGGCGGCUUGUUAAGUCGGUCGUGAAAGCCCACGGCUCAACCGUGGAAGUGCAACCGAAACUGGCAAGCUUGAGUUCUGAAGAGGAUGGCGGAAUUCCCAGUGUAGAGGUGAAAUUCGUAGAUAUCUGGAGGAACACCGGUGGCGAAGGCGGCAUCCUGGACCGACAUUGACGCUGAGGCGCGAAAGCCAGGGGAGCAAACGGG
rnacentral:rRNA from 1 species